UGAGAUGAAUUGAUGUAAGUUCCUAUGAUUCCAUUAUUCCUGAAUGCUCCACCUCGUUCUCGAUCCUUGAAAUCACGGAUUAUGAUUACUUCCAUCAAGUUUUUUUGGUUUUCUGUGGAUUUGUGGCAUUUUUGAGGUGAAUAGAGCUAAGUUCCUAUG